AAGAAAAGGCGUUACCAGAAGCAAGACAGUGAAAACAAGAGUGAGGCCAAGGAACAGAGCAAUGACGAUUAUGUUUUGGAAAAGCUUUUCAAAAAAUCAGUUGGCGUGCACAGUGUCAUGAAGCACGAUGCCAUCAUGGAUGGAGCCAGCCCAGAUUAUGUACUGGUGGAGGCAGAAGCCAACCGAGUGGCCCAGGAUGCCCUGAAAGCACUGAGGCUCUCUCGUCAGCGGUGUCUGGGAGCAGUGUCUGGUGUUCCCACCUGGACUGGCCACAGGGGGAUUUCUGGUGCACCAGCAGGAAAAAAGAGUAGAUUUGGUAAGAAAAGGAAUUCUAACUUCUCUGUGCAGCAUCCUUCAUCAACAUCUCCAACAGAGAAGUGCCAGGUAAUAUAGAUAACCUUUUUGCUUUCCAGGGUGAGACUUGCUUGAUUGAAUGCUGUGAAAAUUUCACCUGAUUCUGGAUGUGAAGAAAAUGGUCAUCUCUGGUGUAAUGACACCUGAUAUUUGUGUUGCGUGCUCUGAUUUACAAUGCACAUUCACUUGAAUCUAAAAGGACCUGCUGAUUUCCUAAAGACAAAGUCUUUAACCCAAGAUCCGUAACAGCAUUUCUGUUUUGCCAUUAGAAGGUUGACACAGGGAUAGGUGUGUCGCUGCUAGGACAGCCUGCCUUGUCUAGAGGGAAAGUGCCAGCUCCAGAGACCACAACCCUCUGAAAUAAAGGUCCAGAAAACUG
rnacentral:sRNA from 1 species